UGCCUGGUGGUGUAAUGGUAGCACAACAGAUUCUGGCUCUGUUUGUCUAGGUUCGAAUCCUAGCCGGGCAGCCA
rnacentral:tRNA from 1 species